rnacentral:lncRNA from 1 species
CCGGGGGCGUCCGCGCGGGCGGGGCGAGGUCGGGGAGGGCAGCUGCCCGCCCUCCUCGGCACUGGGAGCUUUCGGCUGGUACUGCGGGAGGAGCUCCCGGGUGACCCGCGGGUUCUGAAACCGCCGCUCGGGAGCUCGGGGCCUGCGCGGCGUCUACGGGGCGAGCGAGGGAGAACUGACGCCUUUCGCUCGGAUCCUUCUCCCCUUCCGAGAACCAGAUUGAGGUGGAACUCACGUCACAUAAACCGGGUCGCAAGGCUCAGCUCAGCGGGGCCCCCCCACAGUGUUGCGGGACCAGCACCUUCUCGAGCUCCGGAACAGCUUCUACCCGCGCAGAGCCCGGCCCGUCGGCGGCCGCUCUCCGCGCCCCUCCCGGGCCCUGCAGCCCCCGCCCUGCUCCGCGGAGCAGCCUGUUCUGACCUCCGUUCCAUGGAGCCCUACGUGCUGUGGCUUCUGUGUUCCGGCGCCUUUCGCUUAGAAUCGCGUCUUAAAGGUUCGUCCGCGGUGGAGCGGGGAUCAGGCCCGUGUUCCUUUUCAGGAGUGAAUAAUAUUCCCUGGUAUGGAGACUGCGCUGAGAUAGGACCUGGGCCACCCCCUCUGAUUAUUUCCCGCCCACCCCUUCACUGGCGCCAGCCCCACGGAGACCUCGCAGGUGCCGUGAGAAAGUGGAGAUGAGCAGAGUCUGGACGCAUGCGCGGGGCCGGGAGGUGCCGGCCGCAGCCUGCGCCGUCUCCUAAUGCGGAAAUCUGCACCCAGGGCGGAACUCGCCGGUGUCUUCCGCGCGCGCACUGCACGUGUCGGCAUCCUUUCUAGUGCGCCUGCGCAGCCAGCACCGCCUGCACCUGCGCUGACGCUCGCUGACAGCAGUACCCUCCUGGGAAGCCACGCAGGACCCGUCUUCGGGAGCCCGAGAGCCUCCUUCCCGGGCGCCAGUCUUAAUAAACUUUGUAUGUGUGUGAUGGAGCCUCGCUCUUUUGCCCAGGCUCACUGCAAACUCCGCCUCUCGGGUUCAGGCAAUUCUCCCGCCUCAGCCUCCCUAGUAGCCGGGACUACAGGUGCCCGCCACCACAUCCUGCAAAUUUUUUUUUUUUUUUUUUUUGGUAGAGAUGGGGUUUCACCAUGUUGCCCAAGCUGGUCUCGAACUCCUGACCUCAGGUGAUCCGCCCGCGUUGGCCUCCCAAAGUGCUGGGAUUACAGGCAUGAGCACCACGCCGGCCUUAAUAGACGUUAUCUGGGAGAAGUUUGUCGGGCCUCUUGUCGGUUUCUGUUGCUUGGCAAGGUAAGAACCUGCAGCAGUAACAGCAUGGAGACUGAUUUCGCUUGUCCCUUUCUCUCUGGAUGGACGCGUGGGUGGUUUCCACUCUGCCUUCUCUGAGGGUGCCACGAGGAACAUUGAGUUCCUAUUUUCAGUUCUUUAGGGUAUAAACCUACGGUUCAAAUCAGGAGGUCCUAUGGUAAUUCUGUGUUUAAAUCUUUGUACCCUUUACUUUUUCUUUUAAAGUACUUUUAAAUUUUAAUAUUUUAAAUGAUGGAAAAAUAUACAUAACAUAAAACCUACCAUUUAAACCAUUUUUAGCUGAACAAUUCAGUGGCAUUGAACUUACGUAACCAUCAUGGUGGUCUAUUUCCAAAUUUUUUCUUCCCAAAAAGAAAGCACGAGGCCGGGCGCGGUGGCUCACUCCUGUAAUCCCAGCACUUUGGAAGGCCGAGGUGGGCGGAUCACGAGGUCAGGAGAUCGAGACCAUCCUGGCUAACAUGGUGAAACCCCAUCUCUACUAAAAAUACAAAAAAUUAGCCGCGUGUGGUGGUGGGCGCCUGUAGUCCCAGCUACUCGGUAGGCUGAGGCAGGAGAAUGGUGUGAACCAGGGAGGCGGAGCUUGCAGUGAGCCAAGAUCACGUCACUGCGCUCCAGUCUGGGAAACAGAGCAAGACUCUGUCUCAAAAAAAAAAAAAAAAAAAAAAAAAGCAUGCAUUUAAGCAGUAACUCCCCAUUCCCCCCAUGCACCCACUCCUGGUUAACCUCUCUUCUCUCUGUCUCUGAACUUGCCUCCUGUGAAGACCUUGUGUAAGUGGAAUAUUGCAAUAUUUGUCCUUCGCCUAGCCUCAUGUUCUCAAGGUUCAUUCAUCUGUGUUGCAGCCUCUUUCCAUAAUUGGUUCCAUUUUAUGAAUAUUGAAACUGGCCCAAUUGUCCCAUAGAAGUGAUGUUUAUGGUUUCUUUUAAAUAAACCUAGAAAUUGGCCCUCUGAAUCUUAGAACUUGAGAAAGUUACAUUUGUCCUAUCUGAGUUCCUUUCUCAGGAAACCAACCACUGGGCCUCCAGAUCGCACCAAGAAGCUGAAAUCCACCAGAUCACAGCAUCUGGACAAUGAGAUGAGAGACACCUCACCCUUCAUGAUUGCCCAGCUGGCCACCUGCUCCCAUUGACCAGCUCUUCCUUACCCUCCCUAAUUCCCAUUUUCUCACACACAGAUGCAUUUCUUCCCUGCUAAAAACCCCUAAUUUUAGGUGGUUGAGGUCAUGGGGUGACUCUGAGUAACAGUCAGAGGAACCUCCAAAUGGGUUUCCGAGGUGGCUGCUCUUUACAUUCCCAUGAGCAGUACAGGGGGCGCGGUUUCCCCACAGCCUUGCCGUCGCUUACCUCUCAUUUUCAGUGAUUUUAUUUGAGAAACAUACAUUCACCCGUCCAAACCCAAGGAAUAGACUCGGAGACUUGAGGAACAGGCGGAGCUCGCAGUGAGCCGAGAUCGCACCUCUGCACUCCAGGAGGCUGAGGCAGGAGAAUGGCGUGAACCCGGGAGGCGGAGCUUGCAGUGAGUCAAGAUCCCACCUCUGCACUCCAGCCUGAGCAACAGAGCGAGACUCCGUCUCAAAAAAAAAAAAAAAAAAAAAAGGACCAUUUAAAAUGUUUUCUUACAUUUUAUUGUAGUAAAAUACAUGUAACAUAAAACUUAUUAUGUAAGCGAUUUUAAGUGUGCAGUUCAGUGGUAUUAAAUACAUAAUAUGUCAUCUUGUGCAACUAUCAACCCCGUCUCCUUUUUUCCUUUUUUGUUUUUUGAGAUGGAGUCUCACUGUAUCGCCCAGGCUGGAGUGCAAGGGCACGAUCUCAGCUCACUGCAACCUCCAUUUCCCGGAUUCAAGCGAUUCUCCUGCCUCAGCCUCCCUAGUAGCUGGGAUUACAGGCACAUGCCACCACGCCUGGCUAAUUUUUGUAUUUUUAGUAGAGAUGGGGUUUCACCAUGUUGGCCAGGCUGGUCUUGAACUCUUGACCUCAAGUGAUCCUAUUAUGAACAUGAGUAUAGAAACAUCUCUUAGACCCUGCUUUGAGUUCUUUUCAGUUUGUAUAUGAAAUUGCUGGAUCAUGUAGUAGUUCCAUUUUUAAUUUGGAAUCACCACGGGGUUUUGGACAGCAGCUGCACCAUUUUACAUCCCACCCGCAGCAUCUGUACAUCCUCACAAAGGUUGUUACUCUCUGCGCUCUCCAUGCUAUUCCACUGGUCUAUAUGUCUCUAAAUGUCUGUUUUUCUUUUUUCUUUUUGAGAUGGAGUCUCGCUCUGACUCCCAAGUUGGAGUGCAGUGGCACAAUCUCAGCUCACUGCAACCUCUGCCUCCUGGGUUCAAGUGACUCUCCUGCGUCAGCCUCCUGAGUAGCUGGGAUUACAGGCUCCCACCACCACACGCAGCUAAUUUUUGUAUUUUUAGUAGAGACGGGGUUUCACCAUGUCGGCCAGGAUGCUCUCAAUCUCUUGACCUCGUGAUCUGCCUGCCUCAGCCACCCAAAGUGUUGGGAUUACAGGCGUGAGCCACCGCGCCUGGCCACCGCCCGAUUUUUUUUCUAUUGAUUUCCUGUUUUCAAUUUCAUUGAUUUCUCUUCUAAUUUUCAUUUAGUUAUUUAUCUUUUCUUCUUCCUGCUUUCAUUGGGUUAAUUUGCUCUUCUUCUUGCUUCCCAAGGUGAAAGUUUGGAUGACUGAUUGUAGAUCUCGCCUCUUCUCUAAUACAUACAUUCCGUGCUAUCAGUUGGCCACUAUGCAUUGCUUUUGCUGCAUCCCACGAGUUUUGAUAAGUUGUGUUUUAUUUUCAUUUAAAAUAUAUAUAUAUAUAUAUAUAUAUUUAUUAUUUUGAGAUGGAGUCUCGCUCUGUCACCCAGGCUGGAGUGCAGUGGUGUGUUCUCAGCUCACUGCAAGCUCUGCCUCCUGGGUUCAUGCCAUUCUUCUGCCUCAGCCUCCCGAAUAGCUGGGACUGCAGGCGCCCACCACCACGCCUGGCUAAUAUUUUUUGUAUUUUUAGUACAGAUGGGGUUUCACCGUGUUAGCCAGGAUGGUCUCGAUCUCCUGACCUCGUGAUCCACCCACCUCGGCCUCCCAAAGGGCUGGGAUUACAGGCGU